GACGAACGCUGGCGGCGUGCUUAACACAUGCAAGUCGAACGGAAAGGCCCUGCUUUUGUGGGUUGCUCGAGUGGCGAACGGGUGAGUAACACGUGAGUAACCUGCCCUUGACUUUGUGAUAACUUCAGGAAACUGGGGCUAAUACCGGAUAUGAGCUCCUGCUGCAUGGUGGUGGUUGGAAAGAGUCGGCUGUGGGGGAUGUACUCGCGGCUUAUCAGCUUGUUGGUGGGGUAGUUGCUUACCAGGGCUUUGACGGGUAGGCGGCAUGGGAGCGUUGCCGGCGUCCUUGCGACUACGAUACGGAGCAGACUCCUACGUGAGGCAACAGUCGGAAACAUUGCACAGUAAGGCGAAGCGUGAUACGGAAACGCCGCGUGCGGAAUGCCGGCCUUCGGGUUAUAAACAGAUUUCGCCUGUGACGAAGCGUGAGUGACGGUACUGGGUCAAGAAGCCCCGGCUAACUACGUG
rnacentral:rRNA from 1 species